rnacentral:rRNA from 1 species
AUUGAACGCUGGCGGAAUGCUUUACACAUGCAAGUCGAGCGGCAGCGCGGCCUUCGGGCUGGCGGCGAGCGGCGAACGGGUGAGUAAUGCAUCGGAACAUGCCCAGUCGUGGGGGAUAACACCUCGAAAGAAGUGCUAAUACCGCAUACGUCCUGAGGGGGAAAGCGGGGGAUCGCAAGACCUCGCGCGAUUGGAGUGGCCGAUGUCGGAUUAGCUAGUUGGUGGGGUAAAGGCCUACCAAGGCGACGAUCUGUAGCUGGUCUGAGAGGAUGAUCAGCCACACUGGGACUGAGACACGGCCCAGACUCCUACGGGAGGCAGCAGUGGGGAAUUUUGGACAAUGGGGGCAACCCUGAUCCAGCCAUUCCGCGUGAGUGAAGAAGGCCUUCGGGUUGUAAAGCUCUUUCGGCAGGAACGAAACGGUGGGCUCUAACAUAGUCCGCUAAUGACGGUACCUGAAGAAGAAGCACCGGCUAACUACGUG